rnacentral:lncRNA from 1 species
GGGAGUGUUGGAAGAUGGACAAGAAAUUGCCGUGAAGAGACUGUCAAGGACUUCCAUGCAAGGAAUUGAUGAAUACAAGAACGAAGUUAUCUAUAUUGCCAAGCUUCAGCAUAGAAAUCUUGUGAGACUUCUGGGUUGCUGCAUCCAAGGGGAAGAAAAGAUGUUGAUCUAUGAAUACAUGCCUAACAACAGUCUAGAUUCCUACAUUUUUGGUUUGGAUUUCUAACCUAUUACACAAGCUAAAAUGAGUAAUAAUUUGAUCUCUUAGUCAUAAUAUGAAAAAAUCUGCUCACAAGAAAGCUUCUUUUGCAGACCAAACAAAGAACAAAUUACUUGACUGGCCAAAGAUUUUCCACAUCAUCAACGGAAUUGCUCGUGGCUUAUUGUAUCUCCAUCAAGACUCUAGACUACGGAUUAUCCAUAGAGACCUUAAAGCAAGCAAUGUUUUGCUAGAUAUAGAGAUGAAUCCAAAGAUAUCAGACUUUGGCUUGGCCAGAAGUGUUACAGGAAAUGAAGUGGGAGCAAAAACACGCCAUGUGGUUGGGACAUAGUAAGAAUCUCUAAUAUCAUACAAUGUACUCUUAUAUGACAUCUUGCUUCUUUAAUUCUCAUGGUGGUGUUUUAUUGGCACAGUGGUUACAUGUCCCCUGAAUAUGCAGUAGAUGGGAAGUUCUCAGUAAAAUCAGAUGUGUUUAGCUUUGGCGUAUUGGUGUUAGAGAUUGUGAGUGGCAAGAAAAAUAGAGGAUUUGUUCAUCAAGAUCACAACCUUAACCUUCUCGGUCAUGUAAGCACUGUUUAACCUGUAUUACACAGAACUCAUUUGUUUUUCUUUACAAAAAUAGAAUUUGUCAUGAUUCAUAAGAUCAAAACUCAAACAGGCAUGGAAGCUUUACAAAGAGGAUAGGUCGUUGGAACUAGCUGCUGAGCAGCUGGCUGACUCUUGCAACACUUCUCAAGUUUUGAGGUCAAUCCAUGUGGGUUUGUUAUGCGUGCAACAACAUCCGGAUGAUAGACCAAGCAUGUUUUCUGUGGUUCAUAUGUUGGCUAAUGAUGGUCUACUUCCAAAAGCCAAAGAACCGGGAUUUUUCACAGAACGAAAUGUAUAUGAUGAAGCAAAAUCAGGAUUGCAGACAAGAAGUUCAAAAAACGAAUUCACUAUCACAUUGUUAGAUCCACGGUAGGUAGGGGUGCCAAAAUAACAAUUUUGAUUUGCGUGCACAUGAAUAAGAAAGAUAUACAUUACAACUUUGGUUAUUGUGAAAUACAGUAUUACUUAAAUAAAAUAAACAUCAAGUUCUACUUAUGUUAAUGUAUGGACCUUUUUAUCUAUUUGUAUUUUUCUUUGAAUAUAUACUUUAGAUAUGUCAACAACAAAGAAGGAAGCAGUAACGAAAUGUACCCAACCUAACAUGAGGCCAAAUAGUGGUUUCAUCAAAUCUGCUAAAACGAAGCAAUAUAUUUUGAACAAUUCUAUAAAUGAAUGCAGAAUUAACUCAAAACCAUUGCGCAGGUAAUGUAGAAACACUCCACCAACAAUUUUCCCCAAAUAUCAAAAUUCAAAAUCAUCAAAGUAGCAGAAUAGAACUAUACCAGAAUAAGGAGCCCUAGCGUUACGAGGAAGAGGCGACUGCCGGAGAUGGAGACUGAAUGGGAAGAUUAGCCUCAAAGUAGAGUUUCUUGUAAUUUGGGUCAACUGUCCAGAAAUGGAGCGAAAUAAAGAAAAAAGGGGAAAUGCUAACAAGGAAAAGUGACCGUGUAAGACUUGUUUAUGGGAAAUUUGAGAGUUUUGAAUAAAAAUGAGUGAAUCUUAAUUCAUCUCAUUUGAUCACAUAUAUUAUUAAUAAAUCCGCUCUUCAACGGCAACAACGGUGUGUGCUUUCUUCUUGGCUUGUUUUCUCCAAUGGUGUAUUAAUUGCAUCUGUUGAGAAAUAUAGAAUAUAUAAAAUAAUAUAUACCUUGAUGCAUAACUUGUAAGUAAUUAUACACAUUUUAUUCACGUGAGAUUGUAAAAUAAUAACCAAACGCCAUAUUUGAUAUGUUGAUUUUUUUUUUUUUAAAAAAACGAGCUAACAUAAUAUUAACUAUUCUAAUUUUUAAUUAAUACAUGAACAACCACUCGUAAGUGAUAACAGUACAAAAGUUGUUUCUAUGUUUUUUAACAUGUUGAAACAAAUAGCAUAUCAAGUUUUUCAAGUGACUAAUUUGUUAGUUACGAAAGGUUACGUAAUUUUUUAAGUGAUAUAAUAGCAUAAACAUAUUAUCUUAUCCAGUGUUUUAAAAGGCAAGGGCGUGAUGCAUGACAUUUUACUUAGCACAGGGCGAGGUGUAAACCCCGAGGUAUAGAGCAUAAGUCCCAUAUAAUAGCACAAAAUUAUAAAAAUACAUCAAACUGAAAAUAUGAUUAAGGAAACUCAUAGAAAAUAAAAGGGAAAAUGCAUAAGUACCCCCAGCCUAUGCCCAAAAUCCCUGAGACACACCUAACAUUUACUAAUGUCCUAUUACCUCCCCGAACUUAUUUUAUAUAUAAUUUUCUACCCUUUUUCGGCUUACGUGACACUAUCUUAUUUUAUUUUUUUAAACUCCGUGUCAAGUCAAACUAAACCACUCUUUUUGAAACGGAGGGAGUAAUAUUUAAGAAACUUUUUUUAACUUAGUUUUUCAACACAUGGAGACCACAAUAUGCAACAUGCAUGACUGGCCUAUCUAGAUUUGCAGUGCCUGAUUAAGAAAAAAUGAUUGUAGAAUCUGAGGCAGGUUCAAAAAGAAAGAAGGCAGUGAGUUUCUCAUUGUUGAUGGCAAUGAUUCUGCUAAUCCUGAUUUUGUUGUGGUACAAAUGGAAAAAGAAGAAUUAAACUGAAAUUCAGAGAAGAUUUUGAGCUGCCACUGUUCCCAUUGUCGACAAUAACAAGAGCCACAAAUAACUUUUCGGUCAACAACAAGAUUGGAGAGGGUGGAUUUGGACCCGUAUACAACAAGGUAUUCACUGCAAAUUUGUUGGAGUAGUAAACAGUUUAUGCACAAGAUUAGUGUAUCAGAGAUGAUCUUCAUUCUGUAAUAAUCUUGUCUUUGUAAAAUUUAUGCUCUCUUCAUGUACUUUUGUCAUUUCUAGGGGGUCCUGGAAGAGGGACAAGAAAUGGCCGUGAAGAGACUCUCAAGGACUUCCAUGCAAGGACUUGAUGAAUUCAAGAACGAAGUUAUCUAUAUUUCCAAGCUUCAGCAUAGAAAUCUUGUGAGACUUCUAGGUUGCUGCAUUCAAGGGGAAGAAAAACUGUUGAUCUAUGAAUACAUGCCUAACCAAGGGCGGCUCAACGUAAUUUGAGGCCUAAAACAAAAUUUAAGUGAGGCCUAAAAUUUAUAUAAAUAUCAAAUAUAGUUGUUUAUUUUUUUGAACUUUUUAAGUGCAAAUUAUUACUUGAUAUCAUUUCUUAAAAUGAUUUUUUUUAAUAUCAUUUUUAAUUAUUAAUUUUAAGUAAUAUUUUAUCAAUUCAACAUUGAAAAAUAUUCUUUUACUGAGGCAAUCAUUAUAUAAAUUGUUAACAUAAUACUAUAAGUAAUAAGUUGACAAACUUUACAUAAAGAUAAAAAUUAGAACCAUAAAAUAUGAUACAAGAAAUUGAUAACUUGGUAUAACCCUACUUUAAUAUGUUUAUGUAAUACUUGAAUAUUUAAGAAGAAACAAACAAAAGAAAAAUUGUAAGUCACUUUGUUGAAUUUUUUCGACUAUUAAUUUAUAUUUUUGAUAGUGUAUUACUCUAACUUAUCAAAAAAAAUUAAAAAGAAAGUGCAAAAGAAUUUUAAAAAGAUAAAUAAUACAAGUGUUAGCGAAGAGAAUGUAAACAUACAAAAUAAUGUUUUCUUAAUUUCUUCUAUUUGAUUGGCAUUAAAAAUAAUAAAAUAAUAUAUAUUUGUUUAAUAUUAUACAUUUUAAGCAAAAAUAAUUAUUUUUUAAUUAAAAAAAAUUAACACAUAAUUGAUGAAAAUUUGAGGCCCCCAAAAAUUGGGGGGCCUAAGCAUGUGCCUUAAAUUUAUCAAGCAAGAGCCGGCCCUGUGCCUAACAAAUGCUUGGAUUUCUCACUACUACAUAAGCUCAAAAUAAUAUACAAAGCUUUGUUCUAUUAGUCAUAACAUGUAUAUUUACACCUUCACAGAAAAAAACUAAUUAAUCGGAAAGCUUAUUUGUAGAUCAAACGAAGAGGAAAUUACUUGAUUGGCCAAAACGUUUCCACAUCAUAAACGGAAUUGCUCGUGGUUUUAUUGUAUCUCCAUCAAGAUUCCCGUCUACGAAUCAUACAUAGAGACCUUAAAGCAAGCAAUGUGCUGCUAGAUCAAGAAAUGAAUCCAAAGAUAUCAGACUUUGGCUUGGGUAGAUGUGUUGCAGGUAAUGAGAUGGAAGUAAACGCAAGCCGUGUGGUCGGAACACAGUAAGAACCUCCAUACCAUAUGUAUAAAGUACUCUUUCAUAUUGCCUCUGAUCACUUCUUAAUUUAAUCAACUCUCUUGCUCAUGUUUUUGCACAGUGGCUACAUGUCCCCAGAAUAUGCAGUGAAUGGGAUUUUCUCUGUAAAAUCAGAUGUAUUUAGCUUUGGUGUGUUGUUGUUAGAGAUUGUGAGUUGCAAGAGAAACAGAGGAUUUGUCCAUCAAGAUCACAACCUUAACCUUCUUGGUCAUGUAAGCACUCUAUAUAUUGUCUGUAUUACAUCUUCUUUUCUUAACAACACAGAGAAUUUGACACGCCCCAUGAUCUAUACUCGAACAGGCAUGGAAGCUUUACAAAGAAGAUAAGUCCUUGGAACUAAUUGAUCAUGAGCUGCAGCUAGCUGAUUAAUUCUUGCAAUGUAUCUCAAGUUUUGAGGUCAAUCCAAGUAGGUUUAUUAUGCGUGCAACAAUGCCGAGAAGAUAGGCCAAACAUGUCUUCUGUGGUUCUGAUGUUGUCUAAUGAAAGUCCACUUCAAGAAGCUAAAGAACCGGGUUUUUUCACAGAAAGAAAGGUACUUGAUGCAGCAAAAUCAGGAUCACAGAUAGGAAAUUCGAAAAAUGAAGUCAGUCACAUUGUUAGAUCCUCGGUAGUGUGUGAAACACAAAAGCUAUUUUGACUUGCAGCCCUUUACCUGUCUCAAACACAAUAUUAUAAUUUACCCAUUAUAAUAUUAACAAUUGAAUGAUGGAUUAUAAUUUAAGACAAUUCAAAAGUCUGUCUAAACGAUGAUAUUAAAGAGGUAACGGAAGUCUAAUGCAGGAACCUGGGAUAGAAAAUUCAAGGAAUCAAAUCACCAUCACAUUAUUAGAUAGUAUUUUUUUUAGUUUCCAAACCUGAUGUUUGAUAUUUUGGAAUUCCGAUUAAUCCGAACUUGUGGUUCGUUUCCUGUUAGACGUGUUUACGGGGAAAGCUCUCCCUAAUGUGGUGAUUUUUGUCUUAUCUAGGACUCGUACUUGAGAUUUCUAAAUAAAAAUGAAAGAAUCUUAUUCAUUCCGUCAUAACCUCUGCUGAUCACAUAUAUUAUUAGUUCCGCCUAAGGAUACUCAUUAAUUGCAUCUGUUGAGAAUUAUAGAAUAUAUAAAAUAAUAUAUACGUUGAUGCAUAACUUGUAAGUAAUACACAUUUUAUUCACGUGAGAUUGUAAAAUAAUAACCAAACGCCAUAUUUGAUAUGUUGAUUUUUUUUUAAAAAAAACUAGCUAACAUAAUAUUAACUAUUCCAAUUUUUAAUUUAAUACAUGAAUAACUAUUUUUCUAACUAACAACCACUCAUAACCGAACAAAAAUUGUUUCUAUGUUUUUUAACAUGUUGAAACAAAUAGCAUAUUAAGUUUUUCAAGUGACUAAUUUGUUAGUCACGAAAAGUUAGGUAAUUUUUUAAGUGAUAUAGUAGCGUAAACAUAUCAUCUUAUUCAGUGUUUUAAAAGGUAAGAGCGUGAGACAUGACAUUUUACUUAGCGCAGGACAAGGUGUAAGCCCCGAGGCAUAGAGCAAAAGUCCCAUGAAUUUUUCAAUUUUUAAUUUCUAUUAUAGAAAUAUAAUAUAAUAGCACAAAAUUAUAAAAAUACAUCAAACAGGAAACAUGAUUAAGGAAACUCAUAGAAAAUAAAACUUCUAACAUGAAUUUACAAGUAUAAAUAAUAAUGAUAUAAACAUUAUAAUGAGAAGCAAAUCAACUUUAAUAUCUUAACUUUUAAAUAAUAAAAGAAUCAUUAUUCCUAAAAAUAUAUUGUUGUUAUCCUAUGCAAUUUACCUCCCUAAAAAAACAAUUAAUAAAACUUAUUAGUAUUAUAAUAAAAACAUCACUCCAUCAUGAAUAACUAUUAAAUUAUUUUUAAAUAGCGAAAUAAUAAAAUAUGAUAAUUGAGAGAUAUAUGACAAAAACAUGACCAAUAAAAGUAAAGCUAUAAAACUUGGCUAGAUACUUUUAAAAGAAAUAUUAAAUAAUAAUCACCCUCACGAUAUUAUGAAAUAGUAAAUAUACAAUACUACGACUUGUUAUAUAUAUAUAUAGUUUAAAAAACUAUUAGGUAUCAUUCAUUUAUUAAAAAAUUAUGAGGAUCAACAAUUUUAACUAAACAAUUUAACACAUAAUUUGUGUAAGAUCUGUUAAGCAAGCCCUCGUAUUGGACAUUGAGCAUGUUUAGGACGUACAAACGGACGCUUAAAGCGUAAGUCUCAUAAAACUAAGCCCCACACAUAAAUCUCGGAGCAUUUUGCUAUAGCCCUGCUCCAAAGCGGGUCUCGACAGAGUCUUUUAAAACAUUGAAUUCUUAUCUAAGCAUAAAAGUUAAAAUAAUUGGUCAAACACACUAAUAAUUUGAUAUGUGCACCAUAAUAACAUUCCUUGCUGAAAAGGCUCAAACUAAUCCAUUAUCUUUGGGUUAAGACUUAAAGUUAUCCUUUAGUUUUCAUAUAGAGCAGUGAUAGUCACUCAUAUUUGUAAUAUUGGUGCACUUUUGGUCAUCCUCCAAAAUUUUGCCUAUUAUUUAACAUUGCUUUUGUCCUUAAUUUUAUAUAUGGAAUGUUCAAUUGUUUUUUUAUUAUAAAUUUAAUAGAAAUAAUAACUCCAUGUGAGAGAAGGUGAGAAGAAGAGAACCUUGUACUGUUCGGUAGAAAUAUUAUUGUAGCUAAACUAAGAAAAUCUUGACAUAUGGUGUUGCAUGAAAAGAAAAAAUUAUACUAUUGCACGUGAAAACGACGUGAUGAACCUUUCGACUUUAACCGUAAUAAUAUUUUUACCAAACAAAACAAGGUAUUCCUCUUCUCACCUUCUUUCGCAUAGAGUUAUUAUUUCUACUAAAUAUAUAAAAAGAUGACCGAAUAUUUCAUACAUAAAUUGUGGAAAAAAUUAAUGUUGAAAAAUAGGCAAAAGUUUUGGGGGAGGACCAAGAGUGCACCAAUAUUGUAAACAUGAGGGAUUACUACUGUUCCAUGUAAAAAUUCAAGAAUAACUUUGAGUCUCAAACCAAAAAUAAGGGACUAUUUUGGGAUUUUAAUUGGUCACAAGAUGGUUGGUUCACGUCCUAACAAGUUGCCGCAAAGAAAGACUUUCUGCAACUAACUUUGGACUAAAAUAUUUCCUAAUUCCAGAUGUUCCAAAGUCUUUGACAAUAUUAAUUAAACGUAAAAAAAAGGGAGAAAUCAAGUGCAUUUUUAGCAAUAACUGAACAUUUUCUUUUGUGGAAAGUUUUUUUUAUGAUAGCACACCCUCCGUUUCAUGUUUCAAUUUACUUAUCCCCAUUCUAAAAAAAAUUGUUUUAAUUUACUUACUAAUUUAUGAAAUCAAGAUAAUUUUAUUAUAUAUUUUUUCCUUUCUACUCUUAGUAUUAAAUAACAAAAUAAAAUAGCAGUAAUUAAAUAUAAAGUUCGGAAGCAUCAUUAACAAGGUUAAUUUAGUAAUAUACACCUUUAAUUAAAUUUUGAUAAAGAUGUAUUUUUAUAUCAAUAAGGACCGUGUAAGAUGAAACGGAGCGUUGGAACCAAAAUCCAAGAUAAUAGACUAGACAAAUAGUAUCAUCAAGAAAAGUCAGGUGGUUAUGGACUGAGCAAAGCCUUCUGAUAUGGGAACGGAGUUACUUUAGUCAAAUAAUGGAGGUAAACUUAGUCAAAGAGACAUUAAGAACCUGACAAACUUCCAAUUCUUGUCUAAAGCCGCCAUUGUUAACUACUAUUCAAAUAGAAUAAAAUAUGAAGUAGAUACAAAUUUCAGAAAUGUAUUUGCCAUUCAUUAUCCAGAAAGUAAAAACCAUGGCAUCAUCUAUGGAAGCUAAUUUCUUCAUACUUUUUUCGUUGGUUUUCUGUUCUUCUAUACACAAUAUUAUUUCUACUACAACAACAGAUUUAAUCAGUACAAAUCAAUUCAUCAUAGAUGGUGAAACUAUUGUUUCAUCCGGUGGAACCUUUGAGCUGGGAUUCUUCAGUCCCAGCGAUUCCUCAAAUCGAUAUAUUGGGAUUUGGUACAAGCAAAUACUUCCACAUAUCAAAACAGUUGUAUGGGUAGCAAACAGAGAAAAACCACUCACGAAUACAUCUUCAGUACAACUGAAGGUCACCAAGCCUGGAAUACUUGCUCUUUUCAACGACAAGAAUGAAACUAUAUGGUUUACUAACACUUCAAGAUCAGUCCAAAAUCCAGUUGCAGUGCUUUUAGAUUCUGGUAAUCUUGUUGUAAAAGAUGCAAAUGAUAACAAUCCAGAAGAUUUCCUCUGGCAGAGCUUCAAUUUUCCGACUGAUACACACUUGCCUGAUAUGAAGCUUGGCAAGAAUUUUAAAACUGGCCAUGAGGUUUACCUUUCAGCAUGGAAGAGUGAUAAUGAUCCAGCUCCAGGAGAAUUCACUCGUAAUAUUGAUCCUACUGGAUAUCCACAGGUUCUCACCAAAAGUGGCACAGAUGUAUUAAACCGUAUAGGACCAUGGAAUGGUUUACGAUGGAGUGGGGCACCCAUACCACUACUAACACAAAGCAGACUUUAUACAUUUCAAUUUAUUUUCAAUGAGGAGGAGGUUUACUAUAUUUUUUCUCUCACUAAUUACAGCUCGGUUUUAUCAAGAAUAGUCAUCACUAGCAAUGGUGAUAUAGAACGCUUCAUGUGGGUGGAGCAGACAAAGAGAUGGCAUAGCCACUACAAGUUACCUGCGGAUAAUUGUGAUACAUAUAGCUUGUGUGGUGAGCAUGGGAGCUGUGACUUAGGUACUCAACCUAUUUGUGGAUGUUUGGAGAAGUUUGUACCUAAAAAUCUACAAUAAUGGGAAAAGGGAGAUUGGACAACAGGGUGUGUUCGGAGGACACCCUUAGAUUGCAAAAGGGUACAUGUAUUUAUAAGAUAUCCUGGAAUCAAGUUGCCAGAUACUAAGCACUCUCAGCACUAUAAAACCAUGACACUCGAAGGGUGUAAGCAAGUAUGCUCCACGAACUGCAACUGCACAGCUUAUUCAAGUCUAGAUAUAAGUAACGGAGACAAAGGUUGCUUAUUAUGGUUUGGGGAAUUGGUUGACAUCAGAAAGCUGUCAGAAAGAGGACAAGACAUUUUCAUCAAGAUGGAUUCUUCAGAGGAAGGUAACCUUCUUAUUUUUUUUCAAUUGAGGAAGGUAAGAACUUGUUUAAGAAAUUUCCCAUGUGUUUCUUAACUCUCUUUUUUCAACAAAUAGAGAUGAUAUAAUGCAAAGUUAGUGACCUGUCUUGAUUUGCGGUGGUUGACUUAAAAAAUUAAUUGUAGAAUCUGAGGCAGGUUCGAAAAGAAAGAAGGCAAUGAUACUUGCACUGAGUUUCUCAUUGUUGAUGGCAACGAUUCUGCUAAUCCUGAUUUUGUUGUGGUACAAGCGCAAAAAGAAGAAACUGAAACUCAGAGAAGAUUUUGAACUGCCACUGUUCCCAUUGUCUACAAUAACAAGAGCCACAAAUAACUUUUCGCUCAACAACAAGAUUGGAGAGGGUGGAUUUGGACCUGUUUACAAGGUAUACAGUGUAAAUUUGUUGGAACGGUAACUAGUUUAUGCUAGAAAUGAUUUUAUUCUGCAAUAUUCUAGUCUUUGUAAAAUCUAUGUUCUGCUAUUAUACAUUUGCCAUUUCUAGGGAGUACUGGAAGAGGGACAAGAAAUUGCCGUGAAGAGACUGUCGAGGACUUCCAUGCAAGGAAUUGACGAAUACAAGAACGAAGUUAUCUAUAUUGCCAAGCUUCAGCAUAGAAAUCUUGUGAGACUUCUGGGUUGCUGCAUCCAAGGAGAAGAAAAGAUGUUGAUCUAUGAAUACAUGCCUACCAACAGCCUAGAUUCAUACAUAUUUGGUUUGGAUUUCUAACCUAUUGUACAAGCUAAAAUGAGUAAUAAUUUGAUCUAGUAGUCAUAACAUGAAAAAAUAUGCUCACAAGAAAGCUUAUUUUGCAGACCAAACAAAGAACAAAUUACUUGAUUGGCCAAAGCGUUUCAACAUCAUCAAUGGAAUUGCUCGUGGCUUAUUGUAUCUCCAUCAAGAUUCACGACUACGGAUUAUUCAUAGAGACCUUAAAGCAAGCAAUGUUUUGCUAGAUACAGAAAUGAAUCCAAAGAUAUCAGACUUUGGCAUGGCCAGAAGUGUUACAGGAAAUGAGAUGGGAGCAAAAACACGCAAUGUGGUUGGGACACAGUAAGAAUCUCUAAUAUCAUGCAAUGUACUCUCAUAUGAUAUCUUUGCUUCUUUAAUUCUUAUGGUGUUGUUUUAUUGGCACAGCGGUUACAUGUCCCCUGAAUAUGCAGUAGAUGGGAUGUUUUCGGUAAAAUCAGAUGUGUUUAGCUUUGGGGUAUUGGUGUUAGAGAUUGUGAGUGGCAAGAAAAAUAGAGGAUUUAUGCAUCAAGAUCACAACCUUAACCUUCUCGGUCAUGUAAGCACUGUUUAACCUGUAUUACACACACAACUCAUUUUUUUCUUUACAAAAAUAGAAUUUGUCAUGAUCCAUAUGAUCUAAACUCAUACAGGCAUGGAAGCUUUACAAAGAUGAUAGGUCCUUGGAACUAGCUGAUGAGCAGUUAGCUGAUUCUUGCAAUAUUUCUCAAGUUUUAAGGUCAAUUCAAGUGGGUUUAUUAUGCGUGCAACAACAUCCAGAUGAUAGACCAAGCAUGUCUUCUGUGGUUCAUAUGUUGGCUAAUGAGAGUCAACUGCCAAAAGCAAAAGAACCGGGAUUUUUCACAGAACGAAACAUAUUCGAUGAAGGAAAAUCCGGAUCGCAGACAAGAAGUUCAAAAAAUGAAUUCACAAUCACAAUGUUAGAUCCUCGGUAGGUGUGACAAAAUAACUAUUUAAACUUGUGUGUACAUGAAUAGGAAAGAUAUGUAAGAACUUAAAAUAAACAUCAGGUUGAAUUUUUCUACUUGAUUAUAUUAUCUACUUAUGCAUUGGAUCUUUUUAUCUAUUUCUGUUGUUCUUCGAAUACAUACUUUAGGUAUGUUCGUGUAUUGGAGAUAAUAGUGUAAUGCAGAUUUAGAGGCAUAAUUAUGUAUAUUCAAUUAGUUAGUUAAUUUGUUGAUUAGUUAGUUAAUUUGUUGAUCAGUUAGUUAGCAAUGCAAGUAGUUAGUUACACAAGUUAGUUAGGUGUCAGGCAGUAGAUUCCACAUGUAUAUAUAGUGGCAUACUUCAUCUUUUGUAAUACACUUUAUGAAAUACAAUCAGAAAUUCCCCAAAUUUGAUUCUCUCUACUCGAGUUUGAACAUUGUGUUUCUUAUAUAACAACAAAGACGAAGAAACUGAUUUCGAUAACCAAAUGGUCCCCAUUCAUAUUCACUAAAUCUGCUAUAAGGAAGCAAUAUAUUUUGAACAAUUCUAUAAGUGAAUAGAAAAUUAACUCAAAUGAUUGCCCAGGUAAUAUUAAUAUAGAAUGACUACAACACCAACUUUCCCCAAAUAUCAAAAUCAUCAAAGUAACAGCAAAGAACCAAUACCAAAGUAGAGUUUCUUGUAAAGGGAGAGGCGAUUGCCGGAGAUGGAGUCUGGAAAGAGAUAAUUCCGGAAGAUUAGCCUGAAAAAUCUACUUUGAGAAAUGGGAUCUAAGAACGAGCAAUUUUGUUGUAAACAUCCAAAGGGAAAAUAUGGAAUACUCACAUAUUUACUAUGCAAUUUUUUUUGUGUGGGUAAUUAUUGCUAUUUUUAUACUCUUUUUUUUUUAGUGUUUAGUGUAACUUUCUAUAUUGCUCUAUUUGGAUUUAAUGAAAUUUUCUUGGUAUUUAUGGUUAAAAAAAAGAAGCUUCCCACCAUUUCCCUCGAAUCUAAGGAAAAUAAGGUGUUAAAUAUUUGACUGAAACAUCACUUACAAAUUGAAGGACGUCCACUUGUCCAUUUCAUGUAGAUUAUGUUGACGUGAGCUAUAAAAUAUAAUAGUUUUGAAAUAAAAUGUGAAAUUAUUUUAUUUUUUAUUUGAUUGAAGGUAUUAGAUAAUUAAAUUAUUUAUUUUAUCAUUUAAAUUAUAAAUAAGUUAUUUCAUAUACAUACGUAUAAUAAUUUAUCUCAAAAUAAUUUAUUCCAAAAUAAUUAAUCAUAAAAUAAUUUAUUCCUGCCCAACAACCCCACUAAUAAUACUAGUUUUUCCUAACUUGCACGGCAAUUUCCUCUCUUGAUUCUUUGAGAGGUGGACCCAAUGAUUUAAAAGUGUUGGGAACAUCAUUAUUUUUAAUAUAAAUAAUAUAAACAUGUCAACUACUUGCUAUAAAUUUUGAGGUGAAUUCUCUGAAAACUGAAGAAAAAAACAACCAAACGAACUGGACUAUAAUUAAUAAAAUGUUUUAAAAAAUUAAAAUUUGAUACAUGCUAAAGUCGAAAAUCAAACCCAAGUAAGAUCAUUAAAUGUCCAUUUAUGCACGUCAAAUCAAGAGAAUUUUAUUAAUAUUUCUCCAUAUUAUCCUUAGUACUUUUAGAUAAUAUACAAAGUAAAAGUUGUUAGAUUAAAAGUUUUAAUAUACCAUUAAUAAAGUUAAUUUUGAUAUUAUGUAUUGGAGUUUUGCUUAAUUCGAUCUUACAGUUUUGUAUCGUGUAAAAUCAAUUUAAGGGAAAAGCUCUUUCUAACAGGAUUUUUGUCAUAUUUAAGACUCAAUCAGAAAUUUCGAAUUAAAAAUAAGAGAAUUUUAUCAUCAAUCCCAUCAUAAUCCUUAUUAAUCAUAUAUAUAAUUAGAUCCAUGCAAGGAUAAUCUUCAACGAAAACAAACAAUGUAUGCUUUCUUCUUAGCUUAUAUUCUGCAAUGGUGUAUUAAUUGCAUUGGUUGAGAUUUUUAGGAGUCCGGAUCCUAAAGGGCAAAAAAAAAUUGACAAAAAUUUCGAAAGGGCACAUCAAAUUUUUUUCUAAUCAAAAGGGCAAAAUUGUUAUUGACGUAGCGAUUUUGUUUGACGCCGUUAACAAAUCAAAAUCGCUGUCCUAUCAGCGAUUUUGUCCAACUUUUUUUUUUCUGAAAAUCGCUGCCCGUGCAGCGUUUUUGCGAUUUUAAAAAAAAAAAAAUUAAAAUCGCUGCUGUGGCAGUGUUUUUAUAAAAACAAAUUUAUUUUAUUUUUUUGAAAAUCGCUGCCUUGGCAGCGAUUUUCAUUUAUUUAUUUUUAAAUAACUGCUGUUGCAGCAUUAUUAUAAAUUUUGUGGAAUGUUUUUAUUUUUUUUAGAAAUCGUUACCAUGGCAGCGAUUUUGGUGGAAUUUUUUUUUUUUUUUUUGAAAUUUCUGUCAACUAGUCUAUCUAAUUGUAAAAGAAAAAAAAUAAUUUAAAAAUCGUUGCCUUGACAGCAAUUUUGGUGGAAUUUUUUUUUUUUUUUGAAAUUUCUGUCAACUAGUCAACAUCAUGUCGACUAGUUGACCAAAAAAAAUAAAAAUUCCACCAAAGAUUUAAAAAAAAAAUUAACGAAAAUCGCUGCCUUCCAAAAAAUAAAAUAAAUUUAUUUUUAUAAAAACGCUGCCACAGCAGCGAUUUUAAUUUUUUUAAAAAAAAUUCGCAAAAACACUGCACGGGCAGCGAUUUUCUGAAAAAUAUAAUUAAAAAAUUGUACAAAAUCGCUGAUAGGGCAGCGAUUUUGAUCUGUUAACGGCGUCAAAUAAAAUCGCUACGUCCCCUUUUGGUUAGAAAAAAAUUUGAUGUGCCUUUUGAAAUAUUUGUCAAUUUUUUUACCCUUUAGGCUCUGAACUCAAGAUUUUUAGCAAUAACUGAAGAUUUUCUUUUGUGGAAUUUUUUUUUUUUUUUAAUCUCAGUAUCAAAUAUCAGAGUGACAACUAACAAUAAUGGUUAGUAUCAAUCAGUUAUCACAUUCCUGAUUCAUCCUAUUUCACGUUAAAAGAGUUACUACUCCCUCCGUACCUUUUUAGUUGACUCAACUCAUAACCUAAAAAUCCUGACUCCACCGCUACCGUCCAUUAGAUGCUUUAAGUUGUGGUAUGGCAAACUUUGGAACCAAAAUCCAAGGCAAGACUAGUCAAAUAAUAUCAUCCAGAAAAGCGAGGUGGUGAUGGACUGACCAUAGCUUUCUGAUAUGGUAACGGAAUUCCUAUACUCAAAUAUUGAAAUGUAAACUUUGUCAAAAAGUAUUAUAAACUUCAAAUGACUGUCUAUAGCCGUCAUUGUUAACGACUAUUCAACUAGAAAUUAACAUGGUGCCGUGUCCAAAAAGGAUAUGAAGUAAAUACAAAUUUCAGAAUUUUAUAUGCCACUUUCCAGAAAUUAAACCACAGCAUAAUCUAUGGAAGCUAGUUUGUUCCUACUUUUUCUGUUGACUUUCUGCUCUUCUAUACACAGUAGUUUGUCUACAACAACAACCGACUUAAUCACUACAAAUCAAUUCAUCAUAGAUGGUGAAACUAUUGUUUCAUCCAGUGGAACCUUUGAGCUGGGAUUCUUCAACCCCAGCGGUUCCUCAAAUCGAUAUAUUGGGAUAUGGUACAAGCAAAUUCUUCCUUAUAUGCAAACAGUAGUAUGGGUUGCAAACAGAGAGAAACCUCUUACCAAUACAUCUUCAGUCAUUUUGAAGGUCACCGAACCGGGAAUACUUGCACUUCUCAAUGACAAGAAUAAAAUUAUAUGGUCUACUAACACCUCAAGAUCAGUCCACAAUCCAGUUGCAGUGCUUUUAGAUUCUGGUAAUCUUGUUGUAAAAGAUGCAAAUGAUGACAACCCAGAAAAUUUCCUCUGGCAGAGCUUCAAUUUUCCAACUGAUACACACUUGCCUGGUAUGAAGAUUGGCAAAAGUUUUAAAACUGGACAUGAGUUUUACCUUUCAUCAUGGAAGAACGAUAAUGAUCCAGCUCCAGGAGAAUUCACUCGUAGCAUUGAUCCUACAGGAUAUCCACAGAUUCUCACCAAAAGUGGGACAAAUGUAUUAUAUCGUGUAGGACCAUGGAAUGGUUUAAAAUGGAGUGGGGCACCCAUACCACUACUACAACAAAGCAGACUUUAUAGAUUUCAAUUUGCUUUCAAUGAGGAGGGGAUUUACUAUAUCUUUUCUCUCAUUAAUCACAGCUCGAUUUUAUCAAGAAUGGUCAUGACUAGCAACGGUGAUAUACAACGCUUCGUGUGGGUGGAUCAGACAAAGAGAUGGCAUAUUCACUACAGGUUACCUGCGGAUAAUUGUGAUACAUAUAGCUUGUGUGGUGUGUAUGGAAGGUGUGACAUAGAUAAUGAACCUAUUUGUGGAUGUUUGGAUAAGUUUGUACCUAAAUAUCCACAACAAUGGGCAAAGGGAGAUUGGACAACAGGGUGUGUUCGGAGGACACCCUUAGAUUGCAAAAGGGAACAUGUAUUUAUAAGAUAUCCUGGAAUCAAGUUGCCAGAUACUAAGCACUCUCAGAACAAUAAAACCAUGACACUCGAAGGGUGUAGGCAAGUAUGCUCCACGGACUGCUCCUGCACAGCUUAUUCAAGUCUAAAUAUAAGUAAUGGAAACAAAGGUUGCUUAUUAUGGUUUGAGGAAUUGGUUGACAUCAGAAAGAUGUCGGACACAGGACAAGACAUUUUCAUCAAGAUGGAUUCUUCAGAGCAAGGUAAGAACUUGUUUAAGAAAUUUCUCAUGAACUGUUUCUCAGCUUAGUUUUUCAACACAUUAAGAGUGUAUUAUUCAAAGUAAGAAGGGUGUCUUGAUUUGCAGUGACUGACUUAAAAAAUGUAGAAUCUGAGGCAGGUUCAAACAGAAAGAAGGCAAAAAUACUCGCAGUGAGUUUCUCAUUGUUGGUGGCAACGAUUCUGCUAAUCCUGAUUUUGUUGUGGUACAAACGGAAAAAGAAGAAACUGAAACUCAGAGAAGAUUUUGAGCUUCCACUGUUCCCAUGGUCGACAAUAACAAGAGCCACAAAUAACUUUUCGCUCAACAACAAAAUUGGAGAGGGUGGAUUUGGACCAGUUUACAAGGUAUACAAUGCAAAUUUGUUGAAACAGUAACUAGUUUAUGGCUUUAUGCUCAAGAUCAGAGUACUAGAGAUGAUUUUCAUUCUGCAAUAUUCUCGUCUUUGUAAAAUCUAUGUUCAGCUAUUAUACAUUUGCCAUUUCUAGGGAGUGCUGGAGGAAGGACAAGAAAUUGCCGUGAAGAGACAGUCAAGGACUUCCAUGCAAGGACUUGAUGAAUACACAAAUGAAGUUAUUUAUAUUGCCAAACUUCAGCAUCGAAAUCUUGUGAGACUUCUGGGUUGCUGCAUCCAAGGGGAAGAAAAGAUGUUGAUCUAUGAAUACAUGCCUAACAACAGCCUAGAUUCGUACAUAUUUGGUUUGGAUUUCUAACCUAUUACAGAAGCUAAAAUGAGUAAUAAUUAGAUCUAUUAGUCAUAACAUGAAAAAAUCUGCUCACAAGAAAGCUUAUUUUGCAGACCAAACAAAGAAUAAAUUGCUUGAUUGGCCAAAGCGUUUCCACAUCAUCAACGGAAUUGCUCGUGGUUUAUUGUAUCUCCAUCAAGAUUCUAGACUACGGAUUAUCCAUAGAGACCUUAAAGCAAGCAAUGUUUUGCUAGACAUAGAAAUGAAUCCAAAGAUAUCAGACUUUGGCAUGGCUCGAAGUGUUACAGGAAAUGAGAUGGGUGCAAAAACACGCAAAGUUGUUGGGACACAGUACGAAUCUCUAAUAUUUUACAGUGUACUCUCAUAUGACAUCUUGGUUCUUUAAUUCUCAUGGUGUUGUUUUAUUGGCACAGUGGUUACAUGUCCCCUGAAUAUGCAGUAGAUGGGAUCUUCUCGGUAAAAUCAGAUGUGUUUAGCUUUGGCGUAUUGGUGUUAGAGAUUGUGAGUGGCAAGAAAAAUAGAGGAUUUUCCCAUCAAGACCACAACCUUAACCUUCUCGGUCACGUAAGCAUUGUUUAACCUGUAUUACAUGCACAAUUCAUUUUUUCCUUUAGAAAAAUAGAAUUUGUCAUGAC